AAGGACAUGGACUUGUCACAGCAAUUCCCAGCAGCUGAAAUGUCACUUCCCAGCAGCUGACGGGGGACAGUGACCGCUCGUGAACUCCCUCCCCUUUCCCUGCAACAUGAGUUGGCUCUUCCCACAAACACCUCACCCCCAGUGUGCCCAACACAUUGAUCCCUCAUGGGCGGUGGACAACGAUGGCCUGGGACACACAGGCUGGGAUCCAGGGGCACCUGACCCUGCAGGGCUGUCUUUGGAGCCUGGAGAUGCAUCCACAACCCCUUGACAGCUGAACUUGGGAAGCUCAGAUUUUGCAAUGACUCUGCCGUGUGAAAUACAGGAAAAAACCCAACAUUCCUGUUCUUCAAAGAGCAUUCACCUAGCGGGGUCUCCCCCAGAAGAUGGCAAUGAAGAGCUAACGCUGAAAUUCCCCUCCAGCGACUUUCUUCAGUGAAGGGCCAGACUGAAAAGCCCUCCCUGCUCUGCAGUCUGCUGUGAUGGACAAGAAACCAGAAACCAGUCACUGCUCUCAAAAUCAUAUUGAAAGGACUCGAGGAAGUGGAAUGAAGCUGAGUUGGGGGAGGUUUAAGUUGGAUAUCAGGAAAAGUUCUUCACCCAGAGGGUGGCUGGGCUCUAAACAGGCUCCCCAGAAAAAGACAGCUAUUUAAAAUCCCAUAUUUGUAUAAUUUAAUUGGAAGAAUGUGUGUAUUUGCUUUAUAAUAUGGAAGAGCAUUUGUUUCUAUUAUUUGGAUUUUGAUUUUGUUCUCUAAAAAAAAACCAAAAAAACCUUAAAUAACUCAAGUGAUGAACUCGAGUUAUUUAAGAAAAGAAGCAGACACUGUGAAUAUUAAACGUAUUAAUGAGUUUUUAGAGGAACAGAGCUCUGAACUGAGAUUUUGGGUUAACCUCCGGAAAAGGAGGUUAAAAUAGGAUGAAAUUAUUCUUUCUUCCUGUUGUUCCACUUUGUACAUGUGCCACCUGCCCAAAGUGGAACAAAACAGAUCCAGGCUCAAAUAUCAGGGUUUGGACAAGAUCUUUAACUAAUUAAUUUUAUUUGUUCUUAUGAUUGAUGGUAAAUUUCCUUUAAAUAUCUUAAAUACUAUAAUUUAACUGUAAUUUUAAUUCCAAUAUACUGUUAUUGACUCUAAGCCUUGUUUUGGCCACUCAUGAUCACAAAAGUGAUACAUUUCACCUGUUUCUUGGCAGUUAAACACAUGCAAUUAAAGAAUGAAUAUUGCAAAUUAAUUAAUAUUGCAUCCUGAAAGCAUUUUGACCACUAAAUGUCUUACUCAGUUCCCUUUUCCUGGGGUACUGCAAAGGACAUUGUGUGGAGCCCCCAAAAUUAUGUUCUCCAAGUGUAAAUAUAUAUUUGUAUGUCUGUGCAUGUAAUCUAUAAAUAUUCCAAGAGAAACAAAGGUCAAAUUUACUCAACUGCUUUCUAUUUUAUUUUUGCUGGAGAACAUGCAAACAGAGAAGAAUAAUCCAGAUAUUCUAACCUGUGAAUUGCUCAGGAAUAUUAAGUCAGCAUAUUAAUUUCAGUAAUGGUUUAUUUAAGCAUAGACAAAUGCUAUAAUGAUAUUUCUUGCUCUCCUGUCUCUCUACAGCCCUCCUAGCAAAUCAACACUAACAUAGUUAUAUUUGUAUAUAAAAUAUUGUUAAAAUGAAUAUGUGGAAGGACUCUUCUAAAUCCCAGUUGAUUUUUUUAUCACUCAGCACAUCACAGACUUUGUUCCCAGUGAACAUCCAGGCCUCAGUUCCUUUGCCCACACUUAGACAAGUGGUUCCUGAGAUGUCCCUGUGUCCCAAGCCUCCUCCCUGGCUUGCUCUCCUCUCUCCUGACCCUUUUCCACCAGUCCCAGGAGGGGAUCUCAGCCAGCCCAGAGCUCCCUAAAUCACUCUAGGAGAUGGUGUGAAGGCCACUGGGUUAAACCCUGUGUGUCCAUAUGUCACCUCAGCUUACCUGUCACAACGGGAUGUCCCCAGACACUUGAAGCAAUGAGGAUCCUUCAACUUCUCUCUGCCAUCCUCUUCCUCCAGCGUCCUCUGUGCAAAUGACAGGAAGGAUGACAGACCUUUGGUACGAUUGCCCAACAUUUGUCCUCACAGCACCUCCACACCUGGCAAAAAAUGGCCUGAAAUCCCUGUGGGAACAGUCCUGCUGUCCAUCCACUGACCUUGGACAGCCCUGUGGAAAAGUGCCCAGACCUGACUUGGCCAAACCCUGCCUGGAAAUCCCAUCUGCUGUUGGGUAUUUUGAGCAGUGAUGUGGGGUGAGCUGCCCCUGCUCCCCUUGGGAAUUGAACCUCUCCCACAGGAAAAACCCCCCAGCUCAGGGAAGGCACAAGCAAACAGAGUUUGCCAGUUGCUUUCAAAACACUGGAAAUAAAAGGAUAAAAGUGCUGCUUGGAGAGCCAAAGAGCAAAAUUGAGCUUUACAUCUCUAAAGCAUCAGCAAUAUUUAUCAGUGCUUCCCUGACUGUGUUGUAAAGCUGUGAUUUAUCCCAUGUGGAGUUGGUCCAUCUGGGAACAAACCCUAGAUUUUGCUAACCUGAAGGUGAACAUCUGAGCUGCCUUUUGGUUCAGGACGCUCAAGCAGCUGUAAAGCUGAUAAACAUUGAAGAAGAUAUUCCCAGCACUGAGAUUUCUUAAAAUCCACAUCGAUUUCCACAGCCUGUUCCUGUCCUCUUCCUUACAGAGUUUUGAGAUCCCUUCUAGGCAUCAAGGUUUCUGGUUGUCCUGGAUCCUUGGUCCAGAAGAUCUGUAGAGCACCACAGCAGUCACCAGGGGAAGCUGGCGACAUUACCAGUGAUUAUUUUCCAGGGAAGGAGAGGAAAUUUUUCCCUGUGAGGCUGGUAAGGCUCUGGCACAGGCUGCCCAGAGAAGCUGUGGCUGCCCCAUCCCUGGAGGUGUUCAAGGCUGGGACAGACCAGGCUCUGAGCAAUGUGGCACAGUGGAAGGUGUCCCUGCCCAUGGUAGGGUGUGGAAUUGGAUGAUCUUUAAGGUCCCUUCCAGCCCACACCAUUCUGGGAUUCUACACCUGAGGAGCCCUCAGGAUCAGAAGGAGCACUCACUGCACGUUCCCAGAAAUUUUACAUCACCCUGUGGUCUAAUGUGCCUUACACAAACUUGGGUGAUCUCAGAUGGAUUGCACAAAGAUCAGGGGCUCUGUGGUGAAAGCAAUCUCCAAGAGAACCUUCCUUUCUCAUUGGAAGAAACCAAAUAAAGGCUGGAAAAGGCUUUUAUUUCAUUGGCCAAUGACUGCAUUGGGUCAUCCCCAACCCUUUAUAGGCGUGUUUGGGUCUGGUGCAUCCACGGGAGAACAGAAGCGGCAGUGAUCCUCCACCUCCUCCUCGGUGCAGGUAAAGAAUUCACACCCCAGCUGUGGCCAUGAGGAUCCUUCACGUGCUCCUGGUUGUCCUCUUGCUGAUGCUCCAAGGGGCUGCAGGACAACAAGUGUUUCCUAGGCUAGAUAAUUCCUGUUUGGCCCAAAACGGAAUCUGCUUCCCACGGAUUUGUCGUCGUCCGUAUUACUGGAUUGGAGAGUGUAGUAAUGGAUAUUCUUGCUGCAGAAGGGGAUGGAGUAGCUGAAAAAUCCCUGGAUUUGCCUUGGAAAUCCUUCCUGCUUCUGCUGAAAGGCUCCUGGGAAUCACCCUGAAUCCCUCGCUCCUGGUGGCACCAGUUCCUGCUGCAAUGAAAAGCUGUCAUAAUCUUCCCUUGCAGUGAAGAAAAUAUCACAAACAUGAACCAGACAACACUGUGGAAACUAUUUCUUUCCUCUCCUUUAAUAAAAUCAGUUAUGGUGGCAUUCA